CACCAGACUCCUACGGGAGGCAGCAGUAAGGGAUAUUGGUCAAUGGGGGAAACCCUGAACCAGCAACGCCGCGUGAGGGAAGACGGUUUUCGGAUUGUAAACCUCUGUCCUCUGUGAAGAUGAUGACGGUAGCAGAGGAGGAAGCUCCGGCUAACUACGUGCCAGCAGCCGCGGUAAUACGUAGGGGGCAAGCGUUAUCCGGAUUUACUGGGUGUAAAGGGAGCGUAGACGGCUGCGCAAGUCAGAAGUGAAAGCCCGGGGCUCAACCGCGGGACUGCUUUUGAAACUGUAUAGCUAGAGUGCAGGAGAGGUAAGUGGAAUUCCUAGUGUAGCGGUGAAAUGCGUAGAUAUCAGGAGGAACACCGGCGGCGAAGGCGGCCUGCUGGACCGCGACUGACGUUGAGGCUCGAAAGCGUAGGGAGCGAACAGGAUUAGAUACCCGGGUAUU
rnacentral:rRNA from 1 species